CAGAGACUGCAAGCGUUAUUCGGAUUCACUGGGCGUAAAGGGUGCGCAGGCGGCCAAGUGUGUUAGGCGUGAAAGCCUGGGGCUUAACCCCAGAAUUGCACCUAAAACAACAUGGCUAGAGCAUUGGAGAGGGUAGCGGAAUUCACGGUGUAGCAGUGAAAUGCGUAGAUAUCGUGAGGAACACCAGAGGCGAAGGCGGCUACCUGGACAAUUGCUGACGCUCAGGCACGAAAGCGUGGGGAGCAAAAGGGAUUAGAUACCCCUGUAGUCCACGCCCUAAACGGUGCACACUAGGUCUUGGCGGAUUCGACCCCACCAGGGCCCAAGCUAACGCGUUAAGUGUGCCGCCUGAGGACUACGGUCGCAAGACUA
rnacentral:rRNA from 1 species